UGCGGAUUGGCACAGGGGCAAAAUGUAUGGAGGCGUUUCUGUUUUGGGUCACCGGUUAUGCUUGUAAACUUCCAGUUGUCAACUUCUGGACGCUGUGACACUCUAAUAUGCCACUAAACCUAUCAAAAAAGUCGUUUUGUAACCUUUGCAAGUGUUGCCAGGGGGAUGUAGUUGUAGAGCCAUCAGAUCACCUGACAACAUUAUUAGAGAACUGUGCCCGAGGGAAAAAGCCAUAAAAGAUUUAGUACAUCACACGAGUUCCGACCUACAAAACAUGUCAAGAAGUUCCUGCAAUAACGGUUUCACACAGCUGGUGGCAGUUUCUGAAGUUGUGGGAUCCAACAGAAAACUUUCAUCCGGACAACGAACACAUGUGUCGUUGCCAUAAUUAACCUGACACAUUGAAACUGAAAAAUCUAAAACAAAAAGGAAACAACACCACAACAAAAGCCAUUCUCCUGGAUAACGUAGUCUGGGCCAGGACAUCCCUUCGUCGGGACUGUGGCACAACCAGAC